UGCAUCGGCCGGGAAUCGAAACCCCGCGUGGCAGGCGAGUAUUUUACCACUGAACACUACCGAUGC